GACGAACGCUGGCGGCGUGCUUAACACAUGCAAGUCGAGCGGUAAGGCUCCUUCGGGAGUACACGAGCGGCGAACGGGUGAGUAACACGUGAGCAAUCUGCCCAUCACAUCGGGAUAACUUCGGGAAACCGAAGCUAAUACCGAAUACAACCACUUCAGGCAUCUGACGGUGGUGGAAAGUUCCGGCGGUGAUGGAUGAGCUCGCGGCCUAUCAGCUUGUUGGUGGGGUAAUGGCCCACCAAGGCUUCGACGGGUAGCCGGCCUGAGAGGGUGACCGGCCACACUGGGACUGAGACACGGCCCAGACUCCUACGGGAGGCAGCAGUGGGGAAUAUUGGACAAUGGGCGAAAGCCUGAUCCAGCAACGCCGCGUGAGGGAUGACGGCCUUCGGGUUGUAAACCUCUUUCAGCGCCGACGAAGCGAAAGUGACGGUAGGCGCAGAAGAAGCACCGGCCAACUACGUGCCAGCCGCCGCGGUAACAC
rnacentral:rRNA from 1 species